rnacentral:rRNA from 1 species
UACGAAGGGGGCUAGCGUUGUUCGGAUUUACUGGGCGUAAAGCGCGUGUAGGCGGGUCGUUAAGUCGGGGGUGAAAGCCCGGAGCUCAACUCCGGAACUGCCUCCGAUACUGGCGACCUAGAGUAAGGAAGAGGUGAGUGGAAUUCCGAGUGUAGAGGUGAAAUUCGUAGAUAUUCGGAGGAACACCAGUGGCGAAGGCGGCUCACUGGUCCUUUACUGACGCUGAGACGCGAAAGCGUGGGGAGCAAACAGG